rnacentral:misc_RNA from 1 species
CGAGAGUGUCACCACUCCCAACCACUGUUUACCUACCCGUCCACCGUGCCUCGGCAGGCAGCCCUGUGGGACAGAGCCUCGCCCCCCGCUGGGGGGGUGCCUGCCGCUGGCCGACCAAAAACUCUAGCUGUUUAGUACCAUCUGAGUCUUCCACAAAUGAACA